rnacentral:rRNA from 1 species
GGGCCCGCACAAGCGGUGGAGCAUGUGGUUUAAUUCGAUGCAACGCGAAGAACCUUACCUACCCUUGACAUCGAGAGAACUUUCUAGAGAUAGAUUGGUGCCUUCGGGAACUCUGAGACAGGUGCUGCAUGGCUGUCGUCAGCUCGUGUCGUGAGAUGUUGGGUUAAGUCCCGCAACGAGCGCAACCCUUGUCCUUAGUUACCAGCGGGUUAAGCCGGGAACUCUAAGGAUACUGCCAGUGACAAACUGGAGGAAGGCGGGGACGACGUCAAGUCAUCAUGGCCCUUACGACCAGGGCUACACACGUGCUACAAUGGUAGGUACAGAGGGCAGCUACACAGCGAUGUGAUGCGAAUCUCAAAAAGCCUAUCGUAGUCCAGAUUGGAGUCUGCAACUCGACUCCAUGAAGUAGGAAUCGCUAGUAAUCG